CACAUGACAUUGAAACCACUGGUUCCCAUAUAAUCACUGAAGUUAAGCAAUGUCAAGCUUGGUCAGUAUCUAGAUGGGUGGCCACUUGGAAAAACCAGGUGCUGUAA